rnacentral:rRNA from 1 species
UACACUCCUGCGGGAGGCAGCAGUGGGGAAUUUUGGACAAUGGGCGAAAGCCUGAUCCAGCCAUGCCGCGUGCAGGAUGAAGGCCUUCGGGUUGUAAACUGCUUUUGUACGGAACGAAACGGCCUUUUCUAAUAAAGAGGGCUAAUGACGGUACCGUAAGAAUAAGCACCGGCUAACUACGUGCCAGCAGCCUCGGUAAUACGUAGGGUGCAAGCGUUAAUCGGAAUUACUGGGCGUAAAGCGUGCGCAGGCGGUUAUGUAAGACAGUUGUGAAAUCCCCGGGCUCAACCUGGGAACUGCAUCUGUGACUGCAUAGCUAGAGUACGGUAGAGGGGGAUGGAAUUCCGCGUGUAGCAGUGAAAUGCGUAGAUAUGCGGAGGAACACCGAUGGCGAAGGCAAUCCCCUGGACCUGUACUGACGCUCAUGCACGAAAGCGUGGGGAGCAAACAGGAUUAGAAACCCGGGUAGUCCCACGA